rnacentral:lncRNA from 1 species
AGACGUGUUUAAUACUUUUUAACAAGCACAUGAUCACUCUUGUCAUACCAAGGAGGAGGAGCCAACACCAUGUGACCUGCCACCUCAUCAUUUACUCCUAGCAAGUGCCCAGUGAUCACUGUUUUGAGAAUCUUUGGGAGGAUUUUUCUGUGCAGUUACCACAGAGAAAAUGAACGUGUCCACCUCCUGGGGAAGAACUAUUUUGCGGAUAAGUGUUAGACAAAAAAUACCUUCUCUCUGAGAGCCCCUUCCAGAGUGAACUAUAGACCUGAAACUUUCCACAAGGAAAACUGAGCAUGCACACCAAGGUGUUUGUGUGGAGAAAGCUUUCAGGAAUAUUUAUCUUGGAAACAGUUGUCCUCCAUGAUGACUGGUGCCUUUUACAAUGUUUUGCAGUGUUUGGGGAAUUACUCUUAGAAUAGGUCUAUAUGUUUUCACAAAUUCUCAGCAAUCCAUGAGCAUCCUGCAAACUUUAGAAGCCGUGUAGGUGAAACCCUAAAAAACAAAGCAAGCAAUCUAGACCAGAAGUCCCCAAUGUAGUCCUCAGUGGCGCCCUCUGGGGCAUCUAAGUGCGCCCGCAUACUGGUCAGCGGACAAGCAUACAGCAAAAUGCCAUCGACAGGCUGUGUAAUUCAGAGGCGUUGCCAUUGAAAUGCUUCCGAUUUUUGGCGGUAUUUUGGCGGCGACGCCUCUGGAUGAUGAUGCUUGUCGGCAGCAUUUCAGCGGCGACGCCUAUUGACAUUGUUGCUUGUCAGCGGAAUUUCAACUGAUGCUCGUCCACCGCCACAGUCCUCCGUGGCUUGUCGUCUGGUGCCCGCCAGAUGAAAAAGGUUGGGGACCACUGACCAUUUCCUUGUGAAGAAUCUUCAAUCCAAACUGCCAAGAGCACUUCAUUUUUCUUUAAGAAAAUCCAGGAAUUCCCCCAUCACACUCACACCUAGCUGUACUUUU